AAAUCCGUGCAUGAUUUCGGAAAUUCGACUUCAUAUUCUUAUUCAGGGGGUCAAAUUGAGUGGGAAAUGAGUCUAACCCGAAUUUUAGAACAACCGUAUCAAAAUUCGAAAAUCGCAAAAAAUGCGAUUUUGAGGGUCAACUUUAAAGGGGCAUAUCUCUCAGCACACAAGGAACUGGAAGGAGCUCAAACUAUCAAAAUUAAAGCUCUGUGAGUUAGCUUUC
rnacentral:lncRNA from 1 species